GCCAUGGAGCCCGACGGGACCUACGAGCCGGGCUUCGUGGGUAUUCGCUUCUGCCAGGAAUGGUGAGGCGGAGGGAGCGGGUGAUGUUAGAAGGCGGGCGAGGAAUGGCUCCAGGACUAACCCCUGGCACCUCCCCCUCCCCACAGUAACAACAUGCUGUACCCCAAGGAAGACAAGGAGAACCGCAUUCUGCUCUACGCGGUGAGCGCCGGGGUCUUCCCCGGCAGGUCCACCUGUUCCCAGCGUGGCCCCGCCCUGCCCCCUGCCUCUGUGAUCGGACUCCCUGUUCGCCCUCCGCUGCACCUCAAGUGAUCCUGACUCUCAUGUCCUGCCCAUCCCCAAAGAGAGUCCUGUUGUCAUAUCCUCCGGGAUCACCCUGCCCUCUCCUCCCAAUCUUGUCUGGAAUCCUUCCGUGACCCCCUUUCCCCCACACUCGCCCUCUCGUAGUGCCGGAACUGUGAUUACCAGCAGGAGGCCGACAACAGCUGCAUCUAUGUCAACAAGAUCACGCACGAAGUGGACGAACUGACCCAGAUUAUCGCCGACGUGUCCCAGGACCCCACGUUGCCGCGGACCGAGGAC
rnacentral:sRNA from 1 species